rnacentral:rRNA from 1 species
GUACACUCCUACGGGAGGCAGCAGUAGGGAAUCUUCGGCAAUGGGGGCAACCCUGACCGAGCAACGCCGCGUGAGUGAAGAAGGUUUUCGGAUCGUAAAGCUCUGUUGUAAGUCAAGAACGAGUGUGAGAGUGGAAAGUUCACACUGUGACGGUAGCUUACCAGAAAGGGACGGCUAACUACGUGCCAGCAGCCGCGGUAAUACGUAGGUCCCGAGCGUUGUCCGGAUUUAUUGGGCGUAAAGCGAGCGCAGGCGGUUUGAUAAGUCUGAAGUUAAAGGCUGUGGCUCAACCAUAGUUCGCUUUGGAAACUGUCAAACUUGAGUGCAGAAGGGGAGAGUGGAAUUCCAUGUGUAGCGGUGAAAUGCGUAGAUAUAUGGAGGAACACCGGUGGCGAAAGCGGCUCUCUGGUCUGUAACUGACGCUGAGGCUCGAAAGCGUGGGGAGCGAACAGGAUUAGAUACCCCAGUAGUCCCAUGAU